UACGAAGGGGGCGAGCGUUGUUCGGAAUUACUGGGCGUAAAGGGCGCGUAGGCGGCCGAUCAAGUCAGAUGUGAAAGUCCUGGGCUUAACCUGGGGACUGCAUUUGAUACUGAUUGGCUUGAAUUCGGGAGAGGAUAGCGGAAUUCCCAGUGUAGAGGUGAAAUUCGUAGAUAUUGGGAAGAACACCGGUGGCGAAGGCGGCUAUCUGGACCGACAUUGACGCUGAGGUGCGAAAGCGUGGGGAGCAAACAGG
rnacentral:rRNA from 1 species